AGCGGAGCAUGUGGUUUAAUUCGAAGCAACGCGAAGAACCUUACCUAAGCUUGACAUCCCAAUGACAUCUCCUUAAUCGGAGAGUUCCCUUCGGGGACAUUGGGGACAGGUGGUGCAUGGUUGUCGUCAGCUCGUGUCGUGAGAUGUUGGGUUAAGUCCCGCAACGAGCGCAACCCUUGUCUUUAGUUGCCAUCAUUAAGUUGGGC
rnacentral:rRNA from 1 species